rnacentral:rRNA from 1 species
GAAUCAAUUUGUUGGUCGUGCCUCGGUACGUACUGGUAUUAUUGGUUUCUACCUUCUGAAGAACCUUGAUGUCAUUAAUUUGGUGUCUUGGGGAAUCAGGACUGUUACUUUGAAAAAUUAGGAGUGUUUAAAGCAAGCAUACGCUUGAAUACAUUAGCAUGGAAUAAUGAAAUAGGACGUUUGAUUCUAUUUUGUUGAUUUCUAGGAUCGACGUAAUGAUUA